UGCAGAUUCACAUCAUUCACCAAGUGUAUAGACAUCAGCAUGGUAGAAAAUAUGCAGCGGGAAGGUCGUUUUACGGACUCGAAAGGUCGGUCGUUUUACGGAGUUUCCAAUCAUCAUAUUCUUAGAAGUUGGGUAUACGUCGUAACAGUUGAUUCUACGUUCCGGGAAAUAACUGUUCCCAUACACUGUGGCACCUUUUGAUAUUCAAGUACACUUGAUGUUCCGUUACAACGCGCUCGAUGCCGGCAUUGGACAAAAUGCCCUAUAUAUGAAUGGAUUACUGUUGGCUGGACUGCUAGUUUACGAUCGAAUAUUGCCGGAUCACGCGCACCUGUCAGGUGUUCGACACGGCGCUUCGAGUCUAACGGAUCAUGCUGGAUCUGAGAAUAUGGUCGCAAUAUCUUGAGUUGCUGGGAGAAUUU